CUACAACCUCUGCCUCCCAGGUUCAAGCGAUUCUCUUGCCACACCUUCUCGAGUAGCUGGGAUUACAGGCGUGUGCCACCAUGCCUGGCUAAUUUUGUAUUUUUAGUAGAGACGCGGUUUCGCCACGUUGGCCAGGCUGGUCUGGAAUUCCUGAUCUCAGGUGAUCCGCCCCCCUCGGCCUCCCCAAGUGCUGGGAUUACAGGUGUGAGCCACUUCGCCAGGCCAAGAGGGCAUUCUUACAUGGGAUAAUUACACAUAGCACUCUGGGUUGUUGAAGGCAUUAAAUAUGCUAAUAAAAGUUUAGCCAAGUUACCUACCUGUACUAAAUGCUCAGUAAAUAUUAGCUAUAAUUGUUUCAGGGAAUCCCUCAGUUGCUUGAUAAAGUACAUUUUUGCCUCUGAGACUUUUUGAGGACUUAAAAAUAUGCUAGUUCUGUAGAGCUCUUACUAUUUUCAUCAUCUUAGAGGCCACGUGGAAAGAAUUUAGAUUCUUAUUGUGG
rnacentral:lncRNA from 1 species